rnacentral:rRNA from 1 species
CCUACGGGGGGCAGCAGUGGGGAAUAUUGGGCAAUGGAGGCAACUCUGACCCAGCAACGCCGCGUGAAGGAAGAAGGCCUUAGGGUUGUAAACUUAUGUUGCCGGGGAGCAGUGGUCCGGACGCGUCCGGACCGGGAGAGUACCCGGAGAAAAAGCAUCGGCUAACUCCGUGCCAGCAGCCGCGGUAAUACGGAGGAUGCGAGCGUUAUCCGGAUUUAUUGGGUUUAAAGGGUGCGUAGGCGGGCAUUUAAGCCGGCGGUCAAAUGUCGGGGCUCAACCCCGGCCUGCCGUCGGAACUGGGUGCCUUGAGUGGGCGAGAAGUAUGCGGAAUGCGUGGUGUAGCGGUGAAAUGCAUAGAUAUCACGCAGAACCCCGAUUGCGAAGGCAGCAUACCGGCGCCCUACUGACGCUGAGGCACGAAAGUGCGGGUAUCGAACAGGAUUAGAUACCCCAGUAGUC